rnacentral:tRNA from 1 species
CAUAGUUCAAUGGUUAGAGCGACGGUCUCCAAAGCCGCAGAUCUGGGUUCGAUUCCUAGUG